rnacentral:pre_miRNA from 1 species
UCUUAUGAACAAAGAAAGUGGUUUCCUGAAAUGGAAUCUACUCUUGGUGAAGACGCUGGGAA